AGGUCAGUAGCUCCAAUGGUAGAGCACCGGAUUCCAAAUCCGAUGGUUGUGGGUUCGAAUCCCCCCUGGCCUGCCA
rnacentral:tRNA from 1 species